rnacentral:tRNA from 1 species
UGCCGCAUUAGCUCAGUCAGGUUAGAGCGCCGGUCUGAUACGCCGGAAGUCCUUGGUUCAAAUCCUUGAUG